rnacentral:rRNA from 1 species
UACGUAGGUGACCAGCGUUGUCCGGAUUUACUGGGCGUAAAGAGCGCGCAGGCGGUCGUUCAAGUCGAGUGUGAAAGCCCCCGGCUCAACUGGGGAGGGUCACUCGAUACUGAUCGACUUGAAGGCAGGAGAGGGAAGCGGAAUUCCCGGUGUAGUGGUGAAAUGCGCAGAUAUCGGGAGGAACACCAGUGGCGAAGGCGACUUCCUGGCCUGUUCUUGACGCUGAGGCGCGAAAGCUAGGGUAGCAAACGGG